UACGGAGGAUCCAAGCGUUAUCCGGAAUCAUUGGGUUUAAAGGGUCCGUAGGCGGUCUAAUAAGUCAGUGGUGAAAGCCCAUCGCUCAACGAUGGAACGGCCAUUGGUACUGUUAGACUUGAAUUAUUGGGAAGUAACUAGAAUAUGUAGUGUAGCGGUGAAAUGCUUAGAUAUUACAUGGAAUACCAAUUGCGAAGGCAGGUUACUAUCAAUAUAUUGACGCUGAUGGACGAAAGCGUGGGGAGCGAACAGG
rnacentral:rRNA from 1 species